UGCAGCUGUGUCAAAUUCAUUGCCCACCUUUUCAGUGGUGGGCAUUGGUCCAAACAGCUGCCACAGCAACAUCUGUAGUUCAUGGGCCUCAGAACUCUUUGUGAGCUCUGGGGAUAGUUUUUCUGCAGACACUG